UUGAUCCUCCACAGCUUUUGCCUUUGCCUUUGCAACCUCUUCAUAUAAGCUUUCCAGUUUUUUUUCACAUCCCUGUAUCUCUUCAGCCAAAUCCUUUAGGACAUCGUUCCGCAGCCUUUUUCGUAGAUUUUUUCGAGCAUCAUUAUCGUUUUGAGAAACUUGGUUGGAGAGAAGCUUUGAAUCAGAUUUAUUGCUAUCAUGCAUCCAUUCCUCGACCAGAUCCUUUAAUUGAUCUUGUUCAAUUGGCUCUAAAAGCAGGCUGCUUUCUGCCGUUCGAUUGAAGAGUUCUUCGUUGGGAGCAUUAGGAUUUUCUUGCUGAAUAUCAAGAUAUUGUAAAACAGCAACCUCUUGAGCAAUAUUCAUUAUGCACUAUACUUGCAUCAUCUCCACUAAUUUUACAAGACAAGACACGGUAGAAAGGGAGUCCUUCUUUUCGUAGUGUACUACCUCCUUCAUACGGCGUGCGCGUAAAACCUAAAUUCUCGUUAGAGAUUGCUGUAAAACUUCAUUAACGCAAC